UUUGUAUUUUGUUCCUGUUUUUGCAAAUAAAUAAUUUUAAAGUCGGUAAUGUGGUUGGAUUUGAUAGGAUUUGGACUCUUUCCAUCAAAAGAAAUUAGCUAGAAAAAGAUGAUAUUUUGGAAUCUAACUGUCCUCUGCUUGGUUUGAGCUUGUAUGGCAGUGACGAUAAUUAUAGACGGGCAGGAGGUGGAUUGCAAUAAAAACUGUGUGUGUUGUAAAGGAGGAGUGUCAAAAUGUGGUAUUGAUGAUAUCUGUAAAGAUGGAUGUGUUGAAACCAUAUAUGGAUGGAGAUGCCAUCACUCUUGUCCCGAAAACUGUUACACGUGCGAAAAUACUUCUGGCAAAACAUGUUACAACUGCAAAGAUACCUUUUAUGCUAAACACAGUUUGUGCAGCAAGCGGUGUUCUGUCGGGUGUAACAUUGGAGCAUGUAAUGACGAUGGAACUUGUAGCCCAUGUAAAGCUGAUUUCGAAGGGCCUAAA